GGUCUCUGAGGGGAUCUGGAUCCUCUGAUGGUUUUAAAACCACAUCCAUGAGACCCACAAACAAACAGACAAACACAACAAGAGUUUUAUCUGAAUUCAGAAACAGAAGCUUUUAAAAUACUGCUGAUGCACUAACCUCUCGAAACAUUAGACUCGGCUUCAAACUCAGGACUUGUUGGAUCAUGGAACGAGUCGACCAGGAACAGGACAAAGAGCCUGAUGGUCCAGAGAGAGAUAAAAUGACCAUAAAGAACCUCAGAACCAGGUCCCACAGGUUUCUAAUCACUCCAUGUGGACUGAUGCUGUACUGAUACUGUCCAGAACCGGUUUAUUUUUGGUUGAGAAGCUCUGAUCGCUGUGAAACCAGAACAGAACCUGAUCCAUGUUGGUUCCAGCUCUGUCACACCCGUCUCACACACACUGAUCCUGAACGUCUCAGUAAAACCUCUGAGUCUCUGAUCCUGCAGCUCAGCCUCCACCUGCACUGACUCCAGCUUCACCCACCGGUUCUCUGGCUCUGGUCCAGACUGAUCCUGGUUCAGGUUCAGGGAAAGAUCCUGGUCCUGUUUAACAGUGUUGCUCUGCAGGGCUGAAGAUUCAGGUUUCUGUCGACUGUUUGAAGAGUAAAACUUUAAAUUCUCCAGUUUGCACAUUUUACCUGAAAUGUGUGUGUGUGUGUGUGUGUGUGUGUGUGUGUGUGUGUGUGUGUGUGUGUGUGUGAGCAGGACGUGACUCAGCUCCGUCCUGUUGACUCAUCUCACUGGGAGCAGGAGGAGCAGGAGGAGGAGGAGGAGGACAGACCUUCUCCUCCUGUAACUCUCCACCUCCUCUCACCUGCAGACGUCCUCUCCUCACCUGCUCACAGCUUCACGCCGAUGACGUCACGUCAGAGGUUCAGGGCUGUAAACGUCCUGCAGCAGCUGAUCAGUGAUCAGUUAUUGAUCAUCAGUUAAACUUCAUUUAUCACCUGAAGAAGAAAUAAAGUUCAAACACCUUCCUUUAA